rnacentral:rRNA from 1 species
UACGUAGGGGGCAAGCGUUGUCCGGAUUUAUUGGGCGUAAAGAGCGUGUAGGCGGUUCGGUAGGUCCGUUGUGAAAACUCGAGGCUCAACCUCGAGACGUCGGUUGAAACCAUCUGGCUAGAGUCCGGAAGAGGAGUGUGGAAUUCCCGGUGUAGCGGUGAAAUGCGCAGAUAUCGGGAAGAACACCCGUGGCGAAGGCGGCACUCUGGGACGGUACUGACGCUGAGACGCGAAAGCGUGGGGAGCGAACAGG